UGUCCCCUACCCGGGGACCAUAUAUUAAAUUGAUUUUUGGAACUGGGAGAUGGAAAAGGGGCUUGCCCGUCCACUCCACGCAUCGACCUGGUAUUGCAGUACCUCCAGGACCGGUGC
rnacentral:snRNA from 10 species